rnacentral:lncRNA from 1 species
CUCCAUAUUGCUCCAUUUCUAACAAGGCUGACUCCGACUCUCACUAAUUUUAUUUUUAAUUAAUAUUUUGUCUAUAAAUAUUUAUAGUAUUUGCCAACCUCACCGAGAUCAUCAAACAGAAAGCUCCUUAGAAUAGCAGAAUGUUAGACUCGUAAGGCGCUGAGAGAUGAUCCAGCUCAACCCCCUUUUCCGUAGGCGCAGAAGGUGAAGUCCAGGAGGGAAAUGCGCGGCUUAAGAGCACAUGCUGUUGAGUUAGAAACCAAACUGGGACUAUGACCUCAGCUCUAACACUGAGUGGAAGGCUCUUUCUGUUCCUCUCAUGCUGCUCUUCCACCUGAAAAGGAAAAGAAGACCUCCCUUAAUCCCUGUCACACGGCUCCGCGCUCCCAAGAAGAGCCAGCUGACAGAGCCCAGCACCUCUUGUUGCAGGCCUUCUGCACUUCAGGCUGUCACCUGACACUCAUGAAAGGAUCUGGAGAUGGUGGGAGUGCGGAACCGAGCGCCUGAGAAAUGACCACAGGACCAAGAACAGCCAACAAGCUGCUGGGGACCGUCAUUGCACCGGCCUGAUGAUGGGAUAAUUAACACAAAAGCCGUGUCUAGGAGCGAAAGACACAAGCAGCUCUUGGGAGCGGUCACUAAAGGCAGUUUCUUAAAAGCCCUGAGAAGUAUGAUUUGAAAGAGACUGCUUCUGGAAUGUCGAGGCCUAUAUGUUGCAAUACUCAUUUUCUAGUCUUUUCUGGGGUUUAGCUGGCCCUUGUCUUCCAUUCAUGGUAGCACUAAGACCAAGAACUACCUGAGCUCUCAGAGGUCCUGGAGUGAACAGGCCAGUGUUUUAACAACUCAUAAGUCUCUGAGUGGGUGCUGUGUCGAUGGACGUUUAAGCUAAUCUUUCAUCCCCGAGAAAUUGCAUCUAUAAAAGUUGGGUUCUGCAUUUGAAAAACUUGGAUCAGUUGGUUAUCCCAGAAACAAUACCCCCCCACCCCUCCCCGACAAUGAACCUUUAAAAUCCUGGUAAAAACCAGAGUUCUCUUGCAUCAACCUUUUGUCCUGAGUGUUGAGCAGGAAGAUGCUGCCUGGUGGAAGGAGGAAGGAAAUGAGUGAGAUUCCUCUUGUAGAUUACCUCCAAGCUGUCACCAAACCAUGCUGCUCCCUUCAGAACAGCCUCAGAAAGACGGGUGACCUUCAACUACCCAGGACUUCCCCACUAUGCCCCACAUGAAUCCUCACCAUGUUUGCCAUUUAAUC